GUCUGUAAUGAGAGGUUUCCAGGCAAAUCAAAUGUAUGGUCUUGAUGGGGACUGAACACAUGUAAACCUGCAGUUGCAUUUCCUGCAGCCACUCCUGGGCUUCUGCUCCGUCCCCAGAGCAGAGCUCUCGGCCACAGCCACGCCAGCAUCCCACCAGCCUCAUUUGCACAUACGCCCUUCAUUCUAGCCAGACCGACUUCUCUUGGCCGGUUCUGUUCUCUUUGAAAGACUUCUACUCUUCCAUUUUACCAUAUGGUAAAGACAGCAUUCCAAAUCGGUGGGGGAAAAGAGGAUGAAUUGAACUAUGUCACAAUGUAAAAUUUCUGGAAGGGAAAGAUACCUCAAAGUCAAUAGGUGAAUAACAAACUGAGAAAAAUAAUUGUAACACAUAUCAGACAAAGACCUGAUUUCCUUACAUACAAAGGACACCUGUACAUCAAUAAGGAAAAGAUCAUUAACCUAAUAGGAAUUUCAACACAGGACACCAAACCAACAGCUUACAAGGAUAAACAAAACAAAACAAACACCCUAGCAGAUGGCUUUUAAACAUAAGAAAAUAUAUUCAACCUCACUUAUAACAAGAGAAAUGCAAGUUAAGUCUGUUUGUUUUUCAGAUACAAUUCAUCCUGUGGUCAAAGAUCAAAGAGUCUAAUGACACGCUGGGUUGGAGGGGGUACAGAGAAGCCCGGACCCUCACACAGGGCUGGUGCAUAUAUAAACCGGUAUGAAUCUUUUUGCAGGGCAAUUUUACAUUACCUUUCAAAAUAUAACAUUGUGUAUACUCUUUGACCUAGAAAUUUUACUUCUGAGAAUUUUCCCUACAGGAAACACAUUGUGAGGACUGCCCACCAUAGGGCAAUAAUAAAGGCAGGGAAGCUACCUAGUUAGCAGGGGGCUGCACAUAUGGCUCCAAAGCCAGAACCGGGAGAUGGACCUUCUCCUGGUCCUGGGUUUCCUCCAGGCAGCAAUGCUGAUCAAUUAGCACAGGGAAGGCAGCAGAGAUGCAGAGCUUGUGCUGGACAACCAGGCUGAGUUGACCAGCAGGUUGGAGAAGCCACAAGAGGCUGAACCACAAGAGGCUCCAACCCCUCUUACUAAAUUUACAUAUUUACAAAUUUCACACCCUGCCCCAGUUCCUCUUCCUCCUGUCUUAGUACCUGCCAAGGGACGAUGUGUACUAUCCCUAAGUGGUCCUUCAAGGCCACCCACCUCUGUGCCCACAUUAGGCUUGCAUGUGAGGUUGACGGUAUCAUUCCCAUCUGGGCAGUGGUGGUGUCUUGGUGCUGCCCUUUCUCGGGGAUGAUCCUGAUGUGAGUUGGUUUUCUUCCAAGUGUGUGCAAACCAUAUUACACCUCUAUGAACAAUAUUAUGCUAAGGACCAGGCAUUUAUUUUCCUCCCUAUCUUGCAAACCCAGUUGGUGAUAAACGAACCUGUGUUUUUGGUUUUUUUUUAAAUUCACUUCAGGUCUGUUUUUUGGUAGAUAUCUGUUUUCUACAGAUUGUUAAGUCUACCUGUUUCUAAAGCAAUAUUCGACCUUGACCAUAUUAUAUAUUUUAGGUACAAUUUUAUUCCUCCUUAUUUUACUCUUCAGCCCAUCACAGCGUUGUUUGUUACAGCAAAGGCCUGGAAACCUCAUAAAUUGCAUCAGUGGCGACUGGUUAAAUACGGUGUGGUUCCUCCCUGCUCCGUAGCCCUUGAAAGGAGAAGGCAGUUCUGCACUUACAGAGAAGAGCAGUCUCCAUAGUGUAUAGUUUAAGUUAGAAAAGCAAGGAGGAGGGCCAUGUGCAUAAAAGAAAGGAGCAGUGGGGAUGCAUGCAUAUGUUUGUACACGUUCUCUCCAAGGAGGCAAAAAAAACCCUUAAUAGUGAUUGUCCCUUGGGGAGGGAACUAAGGAGCUGGGGGCCAGGAUAGGAAGGAAGUUUCACUUUUUAGUGUUUAAUUUUUUUUUAAAGCAUGCAUAUGUAUUAAUAUUCCCCAAAUUAAUUUAAAAGUAAAAUUCUACAUGUUUUCUAAAGAAAACAUGUCUCCUCCUCCUUUAGGACCAUCUUAAGCCUCACAGUUUCGAAUGUCUUAGAGAAGCUUAAUUCAUAGGUUGUUCUCUUUCCUCUUCUGGAAGCGAGAUGUUGUCUGGAAUAUUCCAGAGAUCCCUCCCACGUAGACGAGAAAGGACUCACAUCUUCUAUUUGGGCAAGGUCUGUGUCUUCCAAUCCCCCAGCCCAUAUGGUCUUACACAUCAAGGACACCUAAUGCAUGUUGAUUGAAUGAAUAUCUGUCUCCCCUCUUUCAGAGGGGCUCGUGAGGGUGACCCAGGAGUUAAGAAGUGGAGUCCUGGAGAACAAGAGUAGAGGAGCACUACACGCACACGCAAGUGCACACGUGCACACAGACGCAAGAUUUUUGUGCACUUGGGUGUGCCACCAAGGGUGGGCAACAGAAAUUAAUCAGAGAGAUAGACUCACCCACUCCCUGCCGUGCCUCUCCAGCUAAAGGGUUGCAGUCAAGUCACAGGAAGAAGGUAGUGCCAAGGGCACCUGCUCUGUGUUCUGAUUCCCAUGGGAACAGCCCUUUGCUGGAGGCUGGGCAAAUCCUGUCUGAGUACUUCUCAGUCUCGUGUGUGUGUGUGUGUGUGUGUGUGUGUGUGUGUGUGUGUGUGUGUGUGUGUGUUUAUUAGCCCUGGCUUUUUGCUGCAGGCAAAGCAGACACCAGAAGUGAGAAAGGGGAUUAUCUCUCUCUGCAGGGCUAAGAGCCGAUCCUGGAGAGAGGAUGGAACUCAGAGAGGACAGAGCAUGGAAGGGAGAGGCAGAAGCCUAGGUGUUAACAGAUAGAACCCUUUAAGGGUCAGGAAGGGCCAAAAGGACAUGACUUAUUUCAGUAAGAGUGAGUUCUCCACCAUCAAAGGUGAUAAAAAAUGAAUCAGAGAGGACAGGCCUGCUUUUCAAUAGCCCACGCCCCAAACUGAGAAGCAAGGGGAAAAUGGAUCAUUUGGAACUGAUUAGGUUAGAACAGCAGAGGGUUGCAAAAAUUCUGAGACAAAUUUUCCUAUCAUAUCUGGUGUCUGAUGAAUUGGCCUCGCAGUCACACAGCUCAGAAAAGCUUGCCGAUCCAGCAACGCCUCGGGGCGGGAUUCUACAAGGGGCCGUUCCGGAGCUCGGGAGCUUAGCGUCUCCUGCCAAGACUGGUUUGAUGGAAGCAUUUCCAAAGGGCUUUCCAUUUCCCACUUUUCUUUUCGAGGAGCCCAAACGUCAUUCAACCCUGACUCAUUGGCUGAGAUGAUCAAUGUGGCAGGACAACUUGAUUGAGAAAUAAAAUGUGUCCUGCUCUUUUGGCUUUAGAAUCAUCCCCAAAGAACGAUGACAGCUUUUCCUCCCCACCCCGGGAGAGCAGCCAGAGCUUUGGGGGAAGAGUUGAGACUUCGACUUGGAAGGAACUCCUGGAAGCACCAGAGAAGAGUGGGGUUCUGGGGGGAGUGGGGGCUCAUGGGGAAAGGGGAAGGGCAGGGUGGAGGGCCCUGCUUCGUUGUGGUGCUCUGAGAGGGUGGCCCUCUGCAGGCUUGAGAGCACGGAUACCUGGGCACAGGAAUCUCAGCCCGGCCCUCCUCAGCUUGGGAGCCAGGGCAGAGGUCUUGGUGGCUGCGUUGGCACAGAGGGAGUGGGUGCCACAAGGGCUCAAGCUGCCCACUCCUGUAUAAACCACAUGGGCUUGCACUGGACCGUGCAGUCCCCGGCGUUCUUGUAUAGAUGCUAAGAUUUGGGUGCGGGAAUCCUUAAAUGCGGCUGAGAUUGGAUUUUCCCCCAUUUCUGUUGUUGGGACUGCCCAGGUGUGAUUGGAUUUGGAAAACCAAAGAUGUUCAUACUGAGCGUGAAUGUGGACCGUGCAACAAUCAGUCACUGGGCUGUGAUACCACCAGGUGAUGCAGGAGGAGAGGGGACCUGCCGAUGGCCCCGCCUUUCCCACCACUGCCCUACUUCUCCCCGCUGCUACCAACCUCUGCCUUAUUCACAAAGAGCCCCUUGGAUGAGGGCCUGCCUACUCUGCAGACUCCAGUUCUCGGGCUUGGAGAUAACUCCCCACUCUGCACUCAGAGUUCUCUGCUCAUUUUAGGGGCCUCCCUACAUCUAAAAGCUUCAAGCGGCUAGAAGUGUGCCUUCUGAUGCAUGGAGGAUUUCCUCGAUUAUGUCCUGAGAGUUAAGGUGAGGCUGAGACUGAAGCCGUAAGCUUGCCAGAGAUUUAUCUGGGUUUCUAGGAUUGGAGAAAGCCUGCCUUCAUCUAGUCUACUGAUUUUUUGGUGUGAUUUGCAUUGCAUUUUUCUAAAAAAAAAAAAAUUAAAUCAGUUGGAAUCAUCUAAAAUUGAGAUAUUUCAUAUAAGAACCUACGAAUGUUCAACAGCUCCUGAAAAGAAAAAAAAAUUCUAGCAACAUGAGGCCUCAGUCCUCCAUGGCAAUGAUUGCCUGCUGCUGAGGAGCUGCUCCCAGGAUGAAGCUAUGCUAUCCUGCUGGCACCGUCAACGUCCAUCCCUACGAGCCCACCUGGCCUCUUUGCUUUGCCUGCCAGGCCCACAUCAGCGUGUGAGUUGGCCUUCUACCCUGGGUCCUGGAGAGGUCAGCAUCCUUUAAUCCCUCCUUGGCUUAUAAGCUACACGCAGAAGCCAGCCUGCUUCUUCCCACUAAGCUUUCAAUACUUGCUUAUUGCCAGCAUCAUUAAGUCCAUUCUGGUCCCCCUCUCCUGACGCCUCCCAGGUCGUUUCUGUCGUUUUUUCAUUGUGCAGCUAAACAGCCAGCCCCUGCGCCAAGACCGUGCGGAGGAAAACUCCACUCUGAAAGUUUACCUGGAAGAUUUCAAAAAGCACUGAGAUUGAUUCGCUCAUAACCCAAGGACCAAGAAGAAGAGGUCCAAGCUGGAUGCUUGGACCACAGCAGAAUCCAGGAAGGACCUUGGCUGGUCUUUUGGACUCUAAAUUCUAUAAAGUCAGGGAAUAAUUUCAAGUAAUAACAGGCAACCCAGAAGGUAAAAGGAUUAUAUACCUGUAUCCUAAGUUGAAAAGAGAAAUAGGUUCAAGUUGGCCUGAGCUGGUGUACGCACGCCAGUGCUUUGUUCAACUCUCGUUCACUACUAUCGGUUGAGAACUUGCCUGGUCUAAGAAUUCACCGAUGGCUGCCCAUCAGAAUCACCUGGGAAGAUGUAAAAACUACAGAUCUCUGGGCCUCAUCUCAGACCCUGAAUGUCUGCGUGGUUUUAAACCUUGGAUUUCCUUUCAGGGGGCUGUUUGGAGAAAGACUUCAAUGGUUUAAGAGAUUUGAAAGCUACUGUUUAAGCACCUACUCCUCUUGAGGUAGGAAAACUCAAGGUUGGGCCCAAGCACAGCCUCUUCAUGCAUAGGUAUUAGGGAGAAGGCAAAGCCACCUCCUUGUUUUGCAAUUAACGAGGCCAGGACACAUGGAGGAAUGGCAUCCAAAACGGAAACUUUGUAGCAUCUGAGCAAGAAACUCUGCCCAUGAAAACCGUGGAGCCUGUGCAAAAAAAACACACAGGUGGCUGAUGACUGGAUGAAAGGCAAAGGAGCCCACUGGCAGCCUCCCCAUUCUUGCCUUCAGAGAGGACUUCUCAGCCCCACACAUGCACAGAGGGGGGUCUCAAGUCGCCCUCUAGUAACCCUGGCCGUAUUGUAAUAUCAUUAUAAUAUCAUUAGCAUUGCCAUCUUGACCCCACCCCACCCCUGUGGGUUUCGCUUAGGUGCUCACGGGAAGGUUUCAGAAUGGUGCCUGGUGGAAGUCCAAAUGAGGAACUGCCGAUGACACAAUCAUAGGGGAGGAAAAGGGGAGUCACCCUCAUCUAAGCCCCAGAAGAUUAACCCCAUGUUACGACCUCAGCUGCCCCUACUGCGUGCCCCUCACUCCCAAGGACGCCCCACUCUUCUCCUUCGAGUGUGUAACUUGCUUCUGCCCUAAGUAAACUGCUUGUGUGCUCUCCCACACGUUCUGUGCUUCUAAUAAACUCUGUGCCCACUUUACAAUCGUGGUCUGUUUGUUGAAUUCUUUCCUCAAAGAAGACAAGGACUGAGGUCCUUUUGCUCGCCAAAAUCCCUCAUGGUAUAGGUGAUGACGCGGAGGCCCAGAGAGGUUAAGUGACUUGUCUAAGAUUACACAGGUGGAAAGCAAUCACAAGGGUUUGAUUAUUGGAAGGAUGUGUGGAAGAUCAAGCUGGGAGGUGAAAAUAGAGGUUCUCAGUUUAGGUAACCAAGGUAGAAGCAGAGAGGUAAAGAAUUUUAUGGGGGAACUUAGGAGCUAAGUUUUAGGUAAGGUGACUCUGGGGGCCAUGCUGUGUGGACCUUUGGUAGUAUUGGGGGUGAUAAUUAAGACAUGCCUUUUAACCAACCAGGAAUGCUGUCCCAUAGUGGAACCUCCCUUGGGAAGAUUCACUCACUUCAUUCUCCCAAGAAACCCAUGAGAUAAGUACUAUAUUAUUCUCCAUUUUACCAGUGAAGAGCCUGGCUCAGAGAGGCUGUGUCAUUUG